UGUGUGCAUGGAUGGUCCACUUUGUGACUAAUCAUUGAACACACAUUUAUGAUUUGUGCACUUUGGGGCAUAUGUGUUAUUUUCUUAAAGAGAAAAAUGAAUUGAGUCCUGGCUCCAGGCCAGAAUAAUUAGGUCAGAGUCCCUGGGAGAGGGUUCAGGUGACUCUGACAUGUACUGGGGCUGCCCACCUGACCUGGCUUACAUGGCCAACCUCUUGUCUCCCCCUCUCCCUUGCCUGCUCCUGCCCACCUCCUUUCUGUCCCUUGAACAUGCCUCUUGUUUUCGGGCACCAACUGUUUGCACUUGCCUGUGUGUUCCCUGGGAUGGGAAGGCUGUCUCCUGCCUGGCUCCCUCAAGUCACGCCCUACAGUGACCUUCCCUGGCCCGUCCAUCUAAAAUGGGCUGCUCAUCCCAGCCACUUUCUGUUCUAUCAUUCUGUUUAUUUCCUUUACUCUUUUGCGGUAGAGACAAUGUCCUGUGGUCAUCAAAUUCCAUUUCAUUUGCGUCUUCCUAGAUUUCGAAGAAGACUGUGUUUUUCAACCUCCCUUGCAGUUAGGUUGGGGCCGGUAGUUUGUGGACAGAGGUGACAGACGCCACAUCCAGACCUUGCCACAGAACCUCUUGUGGGACCGUCCACACCCCCUAUUCCUCUUCCACACCACCUGUGUAAGACGGAAGAGCCCAGGACGUAAGGAGCCUGGAGCCCGGAGUCACUGACAGGAGGAGAGCUGCCAGGUGGGGCUGCUGAACCACACUGAUCAUAGGUGAGAAAUGACCUUUCCACAAAGCACUGAGCUUUCAGGCUUUGUUUGGGCCUGCGCGAGUGUAGACUAUCCUGACUCAUGCGGCACUUACCGCAAUCUGAGAUUACCUUGUUGGAUUUCUGUCUCUUUGUCUAGAACGUGAGCUCCUGUUUACAGCUGUAUUUCCAGCCCACGGGCACAGGCCCGGCAUGCAGAAGCCCAGCAGCAUUCCAUGCAGGCGAUAAAUAGUUCAGUGUCGAGAGGACUCUGGAGACAGAGAUGAUGUUCUCAGGGUGGGAGGGGGGAAGUCUGCAGGAGAGAGCGUGGGUCUUGGGUUCCCUUUCUGAGUGGUAGUCUCUCCAUCUGUAAUAGCACGCAGGCUUGUUGGAAGGACGGCAUGCAAUCAUCGCUUAUGAACACCUAGCAUGUUGCAGGGUGGAGAGGCGGCCUGUAAUACUCCCUAGGAUUGCAGAUGCAGACGGGCAGACAGGGGAAUUGAAGGCUCGAGUCAAGAACGGUCGGCCAGCACCUGCAUUCGGUGGUGGAGGGGGCUGCACUUUCAGAUGGGAGUGGGGUGGAGGUACGCUCAUUGCCGGGUUGGCUUGGGGAGAGGUGCUCAGGGCACUCUGCACCCCUCCUGGGUGGUGGGAGGCACCUCCAGGUGCAGAGCGACACAAUGUUCCCCAUUCAGGGAGGCAAGCUGGCCUUGGACACACCUGGAAAUCCCAGCAGGGCAGUCCUUGCACCCUUGGGUCCUCUGCCUGUCUCCUCUUUCACCUUCUGCUGCUUGCGCCCCCUGCAGCUCCACUGUCCUCUACCUGUCACCUGGCCCAGUCUCACCUGUCUGCAGAUUCACCCCGGUUACGCUGCUGAAUUUCCUUUCCUGGGACCUCUGCAUGUUUAGAGAUGACUGCUGGAGAUCGGAGAGUCUUCACACGGAAUGAGAGACCAAGUGGUGAUGAGGGCCCUGACGACAUCCUGCUCAUGGAUGGACCUGGAAACACGCCCCAAGAAAGAAAUCAGACACACAGGACCCGUGCGGUGUGACGGCCCCUGUGUGAGAUGUCCAGGACAGGUGCGUGCGGAUAGACCGCAGAGCACCGAAGAGCAAAGUGUCCUCGCCCUUUGUCCCCUCCUCUGACUUGUGAGCUCGUGUGGUCUUGAGGAACUGCAUCCAGAAGACGUCACCUGUGUCCCGAGACCGACCAGGUGCCCCACUGAGACGAGCCCCUCGAUGUCCUGCUGACGCGCUGACCCAAGAGCCCUUGAGCCUCCUUUGAGGCGCCCAGGGAAGCAGCCAUGCUAGCUGCUCAGCGGGCUUGGGAUGCUCGUUAUGACCCCUGUGUUCUUCCUUAUGGUGCAAGGCUGGUCUUUAUGGCGACCUCAACGUUUUCCACGACAGAAUAAUGUCGGCGCUCGGUGUCCAGGCCUGUACUUGGUGGGCUUCUAGAGUCUGGCCAGGGUUGGUAUGUGUGGCUGGAACACUGAGGAUGCACCAAGAGCAUGUGGGGUGGGGGGGAGGUACUUGGAGGUUUAAAGACCGCGCUAUAGUCUCCCCAUGAGCUCACAGAACAGGCCACUGAGAAUCAGGUCAGAAGAGGUUUCCAGUGCUCGGCGCGUGCUCUCCCGGCCCUCUCCCACUGUCUUCCUCCUCUCCCCACACAAACCACCCCUCCACCUCCCUCAGCACCUGCCCCCAACCAGGUACCACGCAGGAGCAUGUUUCCAGAUCUGCUCACUUGCUCCGUGCCACGACGUGCAUGAGUCUGUGGGAGGGGGGACAGGUUUGUCUGGACAAAGUGGAGCUCUCCAGGAUGGAGAAGGACGCGAGGCCAUUCAAAAUCAAGAAACCCAUUAGCUGUGUCUUCACAGAGGCCGGGAAGCUGAACCUCAGCCCGGGGAGCUGUCCUGCUGCCAUGUCCAGUGUCCUGAGCUCAUCACCGUGUUGCUCUGUGCAGACUGUGCUUUUCUUGGAGGCUCAUUUGUCAAGCAUCCCCGGCCCUUGAAUGGAAGGGGUCGCCGCCAGAUUGGAACUGUGUCUUGAUUCUUGUUUUCUGCUGGUGUUCCCACUAACGAAGGGCAGCUGCAGGAGAAAAGCAUCCUGGGGGCCUAGACAUGGUGGGAGUGGAGCUCCGUGCUGAAGACCCCGGACAAGGUGCCACAUCACUUGCUCCUUGCCGUCUGAACAUGUGGCCACCUGUAUUUUCUAACCGCUAGCUACGUGCACCAAGAAGCAGAGGUGUCGGGAGGCCAGCCAGCAGCUGUGAGCCUGUGAAUCUCCAGUCAGACCCAACUCCUUAAGAGCAAAAGGAGCGGGGCUUGGGCGCCCCUGGCCGCUGUGGUUCUUCAUCUUGGUGUCUCUCUCCAGUCUGUCGGCACCGGCACUGGGGCUGCUUCUGUGGGGCCCUCUCCCGUGUCUCCCUUCCUUGCCCUUUCUCUUCCACACCCCUCACCCUGCUCGCCUUAUUUCCUGCACCCUAGUUUCCAGGUACUCCUUGUCUUCUACUUGGACCAUUGCCGAGGCCUCCCUGUCACCCUCCCCCCCCCGAGAUUCCAAGCCUGUAUAUCCCAUUGUCGUCACAGAAGUCUUUCAGAAGCAGAGCUACUUCUAUGGCAUACUGCUGCUCAAGAACAUUCAGUGGCUCCCUGUUACCUAACGUAAAGAAGUCCAGACUCCUUGGCAUGGCCUUGGACCCCCUCCGAUUUGGCCCUGAGUUGACUUUAUGGACGUGGCCUGCCUCAUUUCCCACCCUAACCCCACUCCCCAUUCCCCCAACUCCUGGCUGGAGUUAAACGGGAUGGCCUGCUUACACCUCCCAUCUGUGUCCACCCCGCAUGGGCUUUGGGCUGGAGAGUUCUGUGAAGGAGACGACAUCCCAGUGAUCUUCCAGUCCACACUACCUACCCUCCCCUUCCCCUGAACUCAGAGUGUUUACGGGCUGGGUCACUCUGCAUGGAAAUUCAUUGAUUCAACAAACGCUGCCCAUUGACACGAUGCUUUGGUUCAGCUUGUCCUGAACUUUCCUGGACAAACUCCCGCCACACAUUCUCAGUCCUAUGGCGUUUUCAGCUCCUUGUUGCUCCUUGUCACAAAGAGGCUACUGUACCACUUCCCAAGUCCCACCCUAUAAGCACCUAGGGUUUUCUUAUCUUUCCAUCCUUCUGUUCUUUAACUCACCAUGUGCUUACAGAGUUCCUGUUCUGUGCCGAGCACUGGGGGUACCGUGGGGGUGAGGUGGACCCUGUCCUCCUGUUGUGUGAGGCGAGGUGGACGGGACCCCCCAGCCCCAGCACUGUGUAGUGAGCAUGAAAAGGUGUGGGUGCUAGGAAGCAGGUGAGGGGGGCUGUGUGGUCUUGGGGUGUCAGGAGCCCCGUCUCUACAGAGGGGACUUUCAGCUGACAUUGGAAGGAUGACUGGGUGUUGGACAUAAGAGUGGGAGCAUCUGGAGACACACCAGGAAGGUGUGUGAAAGGCAGGAAGCAUGUCCCAAGGGACUGGCAAGGGCUGGGUGUGACACCAUCAGAGUUGCCUUUUGCGAAGGUGACCCUCUGCUGAAUCCGGCCCACUGCCUGUUUUUGUCCAUAAAGCUUUAUUGGCACCCAGCUGUGCCCAUUAGUUUAUGUUUUGCCAAUGGCUGCUUUCUAGAUGUGGAAUUGUGGAACCAAAGGCCACGUGGCCCACAGCGCCGGACAUAUUUACACGGACCUCUUAUGAAGUGCUUGCAGACCACUCUGUUAAAAAGCUGGGUUGAGGGGCGCCUGGGUGGCUCAGUUGGUUAAGCGACUGCCUUCGGCUCAGGUCAUGAUCCUGGAGUCCCUGGAUCGAGUCCCGCAUCGGGCUCCCUGCUCGGCAGGGAGUCUGCUUCUCCCUCUGACCCUCCCCCAUCUCGUGCUCUCUCUCUCGGUCUCAUUCUCUCUCUCAAAUAAAUAAAUAAAAUCUUAAAAAAAAAAAAAAAGCUGGGUUGGGGGUGCCUGGGUGGCUCAGUCGGUUAAGUGGCUGCCUUUGGCUCAGAUCAUGAUCCCAGGGUCCUGGGAUCGAGCCCCACGUCGGGCUCCCCCCUCAGCGGGGAGCCUGCUUCUCCCUCUCCCUCUGCCUGCCGCUCCCCCUGCUUGUACUCUCCCUCUAUCUCUAUCAAAUAAAUAAAUAAAAUCUUUAAAAAAAAAAAAAAAGCUGGGUU